AAAAAAAAUUGAGAAGGUAACUACGGACUUCAUUGGUCUAUUGUUAAUACAUAAUGAGACGAUACAGUGAAAGAACUCUCCAAAUGACAAAGCACUAUCUCCAUCUAAGAAUAUCGCUUCUGUUGCAUCAUAGUGAAGUAGUUCCACAGGUGUUUCUGCUCGGACUGACUGGUUCAAAUCUCGGCUGUACUGCCAGGAUUUAAGACACUUUGAAAAUGGGCAAAGCCUCAUUUUUCCUAGGUCAAAAGGAGUUCAAGAUUGGGGAAAUCUGAGGAUUCAGAAGGAUGAUAAAUGUUAGAACAUGGAAUCAGGAUGUCACCAGCACUAACACCUGUCCUAGUUCCAGCUCUGGUGAACUCCAGCAGACCUGCUCAAGUGGACAGCAUUAGGGACCUUGUCAGUUUUGCAGUGCUUUUUGCCUGAAGCCACCUCAGGUCCCUCAUGCUGCAGGUAUGCUGAGGGGCCUGGAGGUGACAGGCUGUUUUGCACCCAGGCACACUGAGGCCCGGGUGCUGCAGGGCUGUAAGGGUGGCCGUACUUUACUCUCUCCCAACUCCCCCACCCGUGUCAUUUUUAUUUGUACUUUAUAAAUCCUUUUCACUUUUGCAAGUUCCUUUUGGCCGCAAUCUGAAUGCAGUCCUGUAUGGGAUAAAGGAAUAUCAUAAGUAUAUAUUUUUUAAAACAGCAACACGAUUCAUGACUCUGUUGCAGAAUGUGAAGGAGCAAGUCUCUCAAUUGGCUAAUUGAAUCAAGCUCUGCAAUUUCCUUCUUCCCUGGAGCCUGAUCCUGCAGGACAAGGAUCUAUUUUCAAGUCAAUUACAAUUCCUAAGGGAUAUAAUUACCUACAAAAUCAGCAAAGGAACCCUAUUUCUCUUAUGGUGCAGAGCAAAACCAGUGUGGCUGGAAAGGAGAAAGAAGGAAAGGGGGCUUCAAGCAAGAUCAUGUGCAUUGUCAGACUUCAGAUCAUCCAAGGCCUUGUAAGAUUAGGGGACUUUUUUUUUUUUUUGCAUAAGUCAUAAAGAAAUCACUGUGGGGGAAUCAAACACUAAACAGGUAUGCAAGAUAAUUUCAGAUAAAGUAUAUGAAACAAAAAUGGGAUAGAGCAAGUUUAGAGGAGAUAAUGAUGAGGAAUGUCCUCUCUGAGGAGGUGACAUUUGAACGGAGACCUGAAUGGGACAAAAGGGCUAGUGGAGAAGAGAUCUGAAGAAAGAGCAUUUCAAGCAUUAGAGUAAAUAGGGCAAAAAUCAGGAAGCAGGACUGUGCUGUUUGUUUAAUACACAGAAAGAAAGAAAUGGUUAACUGGAAUUUGGACUCGGGACUUGAGUUCAAAUUCAAAGUUAUUUAUGCUGCCCCCAAAUGCGACUACCUAACUGAGCCUGCUGUUUGCUAAGGAUUAGGGGCUUUCUCUGUUUCACUAGAUGGUAAGUACCUGAGCAUAGGGACCAUGUCUUCCCACUUAUUUCUGCAAACUUAGUAUCUGGGCCCUGUCUAGUACCUGUUAGACUCUCAGUAAAUAUUCAUUGAAUGAAAACAUCUCUACAAUUACAAUACCCUGACUGUAUAUCUACUGUUAAAAUUCUAAGACUAGAAAAAAACAAUUUAAAUGUUGAAAUUCAGUCAGCCAAUUGGUAAUUUAAUAACCCAACUAAAAAAAAAAACCCAGAAGACAAAAUAGUCAAACCAUUUCUAAGAGUAGCUGCAGACUAAAUAACAAGAAAAGAAAAAAAUUAUCUAAAGCAACGCUUCUCAACGUCAGUGCUAUUAGCAUUUGGGGCUGAAUAAUUCUUGGUCAUGGGAGCUGUCCUGAGCAUUAUUUAGUGGCAUCGUUAGUCGCUACUCAAUAGUUACUGGUAGCAUUCCCCUCUUGCGACAACCCAAAAUGUCUGCAGACAUUGCCAGAUGGCCCUAUUGAGAACACUGGUAUGAAAGUAUUAAUGCCAUGCCACUUUCUAAAAUGUUGCAGAAGUUGUUGUGCCACCCAGUGGGUUUUCAGUUGAUUUGUGUGCAAAGUUUUACCAAGAGGUAUGAUAAAUAUGUCC
rnacentral:lncRNA from 1 species